GUGCACUACAUAGGGAAUAGGGUCUAUAGUAGUGUACUAUAUAGGGAAUAGGGUCUAUAGUAGUGUACUAUAUAGGGAAUAGGGUCUAUAGUAGUGUACUAUAUAGGGAAUAGGGUCUAUAGUAGUGUACUAUAUAGGGAAUAGGGUCUAUAGUAGUGUACUAUAUAGGGAAUAGGGUCUAUAGUAGUGUACUAUGUAGGGAAUAGGGUCUAAUGUAGUGCACUAGAUAGGGAAUAGGGUCUAAUGUAGUGCACUAGAUAGGGAAUAGGGUCUAAUGUAGUGCACUAGAUAGGGAAUAGGGUCUAAUGUAGUGCACUAGAUAGGGAAUAGGGUCUAAUGUAGUGCACUAGAUAGGGAAUAGGGUCUAAUGUAGUGCACUAGAUAGGGAAUAGGGUCUAAUGUAGUGCACUAGAUAGGGAAUAGGGUCUAAUGUAGUGCACU